UAAAAAAAGAGCAUCCGUAAC
rnacentral:piRNA from 1 species